GCCGGGGGAUGUCAGCGUUACCCGGAAUCACUGGGCGUAAAGCGUCUGUAGGUGGUGAUGCAAGUCACUGGUGCAAAACUCUGGCUCAACCGGAGGAAAGCCAGUGAAACUGCAUGACUAGAGUGUGGGAGAGGUAGAAGGAAUUCCCUGAGUAGCGGUGAAAUGCGUAGAUACAGGGAAGAACACCGGAGGCGAAAGCGUUCUACUGGAACACAACUGACACUGAGAGACGAAAGCUAGGGGAGCGAAUGGG
rnacentral:rRNA from 1 species